GUUUGCCAUGGAUGGGUAUGAAAUUUUAAAAAUCUGAUUUCAAAAUGCCAGUACCCCAGAAUUUCUUGCCUUUGUGUAAAAUGAAGUAGUUGAGCUCAAGAUGGACAGCAGAGGAUGAGAAGCAGAGCUUGUGGAAGCAGCAGGAACUGUGGUAAGUUUGGAGGAAUUAGGAGGGCAGGAAACUACUGCCUUUCAAGGUCCCUUUCACAUAUCCUACUUCUUUGAAGCGAUAAGCUUUAUAUAUUGUGAAACACAGGAUUGCCUGCUGUGGACUGAGAGAGCAGAAUGAAGGAAGAGUCCUGCAGGAAAUCCAGAGAAGAGUGUGCAUAUUUAUCCAGAAUAGAGGCUCUGUCUAUCACAGGUGGAGGUAAACCAUCUACCCUGGGUUUCUCCACAGGGAACCACAGUUAAUAAGGAAACAUGGCCCAGGCCUGGCCUCUCACAGCAUCGUUUCAGAUGGCACUUUGAGCCAAUAACAUGUCCAAUCUACCCAUAAAUGUGUCAAAUCUGUGGCCAAGCCUGUAGAGAAAUACCACAGCAAUACUCAUUUCUCUCAUUCUCAUCAGAUUUCCUACAUGAGGACAGAACAGCUCUACCCCCACCUUCCUCUAGGUCCCCUCCCUGCUGUUGUGUUUGCAGCCUGCCUUUAGUCCUGUAUCCCUCCCAUCACAGAAGUCAUAGUCUAUGCAUUCUGGCUCAGUUCAAUCUGUGUGCUAAGGAGCCUCAAUGUGCAGAGUUUUCUCAGAACCAUAUCUCUCUCCUAACAGGAGAUUAUAUCCAAGCUGGAGGGAAUUGGGCACAACUAUACACAGAAUACAGAGAUGCUGCCACACUUUGGAGGGUCAUAGGGCUUACUUAGCCUAGAACAGUAAAUGUAGAAGAUAAGCUCUUGAAAUUUUGCCUAACUUCACACUGGUGUACAGGUCAGGAACCCUGAGUCUGCCUAGGAAAGCCUCUCACCCUCUUCCAGAAAGGAUCAUUGACUAAUUAUAGAGUAUAGAAGAGGAGCCAGAGGAGAGAGGGAGAGAGAGAGAGAGAGAGAUGUAGAGAGAGAGAGAAAGAGAGGUAGAGAGAGAUAGAGUGGGAGAGAGGAAGAGAGUAGAGUCCGAUUAAGGAAUGGACAAAGAGGGAACCUGGAAUAACUUAGUAUAAGUGAUUCUCUGUCCUAAAUUAUUCAAGGAGGAAGGGUUUAAAGUAAAGAGGCUCAGGAUCUUCACUUACAACUAUGUCCUGACAUUCAUUCUGCCACUGGCUGCAGUCACUGGGUUUGUAUUAAGUUUCAGAGUCAUGAUGAUGAGAGAUCCCACAUCCUAGCUCAAGAAGCCACCCAAGAUGUAUUUGUCAUUUUUUUUCCUUGACCCAUAACUGAUCUGCUUCUUAGUUAGUGUCCACUGAGGUGGUCUUCAUUCCUCAUACACUUCACUGAAAGCAGGACCAAGGAAAAGGAGACUUGAGUAAUGGAGCCAUAUCAAGGAAUCCCAGGAGAAAAAGCACAAGUGAUUGUUCGGCUACACCAUGUGCAGUUGACGCCAAGUAUGUGAAUCUCACAGUGCAGAAUUGAUGCCCAAGAGAUGCCUGGCAACAUCUUGAAACACGUACCCAGAUACUUCCUGACAUGAGGAUGUGCACACUCAGCAUUCCUGACGCUGAUUGAGAUGUGUCUACAGAAGAGCAAGAAACGGGGCUGAGGCCACUAAGAACAGCACCACCUGUGCACACAUCAUUACAUAGAAUGCAUAAAUUUCUUCAGAGCCUCUGGAAAGGAGUUAGCAUGUCUUUGAAUCUGACUGAGACGGGAGCAUGGAUUUCGGAGUGGUGUUUCUGUUGCUCAAAGAGCAAGGUCCAGAGUUUUUAAUACUACCAUCUCAGAAACAACUGUAAAGAAGCUUUCUUCAGAACAUCCAACAGAUGAUGCAAGUCUGGACACAGGAUACUAU
rnacentral:lncRNA from 1 species